rnacentral:rRNA from 1 species
UGGGGGAAUUUUGGACAAUGGGCGAAAGCCUGAUCCAGCAAUGCCGCGUGUGUGAAGAAGGCCUUCGGGUUGUAAAGCACUUUUGUCCGGAAAGAAAUCCUUGGCUCUAAUACAGUCGGGGGAUGACGGUACCGGAAGAAUAAGCACCGGCUAACUACGUGCCAGCAGCCGCGGUAAUACGUAGGGUGCAAGCGUUAAUCGGAAUUACUGGGCGUAAAGCGUGCGCAGGCGGUUUGCUAAGACCGAUGUGAAAUCCCCGGGCUCAACCUGGGAACUGCAUUGGUGACUGGCAGGCUAGAGUAUGGCAGAGGGGGGUAGAAUUCCACGUGUAGCAGUGAAAUGCGUAGAGAUGUGGAGGAAUACCGAUGGCGAAGGCAGCCCCCUGGGCCAAAUACUGACGCUCAUGCACGAAAGCGUGGGGAGCAAACAGGAUUAGAUACCCUGGUAGUCCACGCCCUAAACGAUGUCAACUGUUGUUGGGGAUUCAUUUCUAGUAACGUAGCUAACGCGUGAAGUUGACCGCCUGGGGAGUACGGUCGCAAGAUUAAAACUUAAAGGAAUUGACGGGG